UUUAUUUUUCCUUCAGCUAGCAGUUUUACUUCAUUCUCAGCUAACGUUUUCUUCUGGGUUGAUUGCUGUUGUUUCACUUCUUUUUGAAGUUGUUGAAAUUCGUCUUUCAUUUUUUAAUGUUGGGUCUCUCUCUAUGCUCUUCUUCCUCCAAGCAGCGAUUGAUAGGUUAUUGGCGUGAGCAAAAGGUGAAGACAUCCAGAUACUGGAUUUGUUUAAUUUUCACUUGCUGCUGUGUUUUGCAAUUACAUUUCUGGGUUAGGGGUGAUUGUGCUUUGUUGUUCUUCAUAUUUAUUACGUGUGAGAGUUCAUUUAUUUGUGUGUUGUUGUUCUUCGUCUUUCUUUAUUUCUUUGCAUGCUGCAUCAGAUCUUCCAAUAAGGCUCGCCUUUUAUCAACAUUUUCCUACCCUUUUUCCGGUUAAUCUCCCUUCCUCUCUCAUCUCCAUUUGGCUCUUUUGUGCGCAACGAGGUCACCUACUCCCGCAAUAUGGCUAAGGAUGUCAAAGAAUCUGAGGACAUCGGCAUUUUGCAAAGCAAUCAGCUUCUUUGGUUGCUACAAGUUAGUUAGUUUGUCUUUCUUACUUCUCUUCCUCAAGUUGAUUAAUGUUUGCAGAUCGUCACUUCUCAGGGUCGUGAGAAUGAUGAUCAAGGAAAGCCAAGUG